rnacentral:rRNA from 1 species
CCGAAUACAUUAGCAUGGGAUAAUGGAAUAGGACCCUGUCCUCCUAUCUUCAGUUGGUUAACUUGUAGAGGAUCAGGGUAAUGAUUAAUAGGGAUAGUUGGGGGCAUUAAUAUUUAAUUGUCAGAGGUGAAAUUCUUGGAUUUAUGAAAGAUUAACUUCUGCGAAAGCAUCUGCCAAGGAUGUUUUCAUUAAUCAAGAACGAAAGUUAGGGGAUCGAAGACGAUCAGAUACCGUCGUAGUCUUAACCAUAAACGAUGCCGACCAGCGAUUAGGAGACGUUGAAUACAAAACACCACCAUGCAUAAUUCAGUAUAUGGCCAGUCAAAUGGUUGUAUAUUGUUUGUGUAUGGCACCGGUGAAUGACUCCCUAGCAGCUUGUG